rnacentral:lncRNA from 1 species
CAGAUAAAAAUUUGUUGCAUCUGUAGUGAUAAUUGACCUUCAAUGUCAAUAAAGACAAAACUAUUUCUUUUCACUCCUUGUUCUUGUUGUUUUCUCUUUCACACAUUCUCACUUAAAUUUCGCCAUGUUAGGCCUGAAAGCUUUACAGUUACCUAACUAAAUUUGUCAGUGUGUGAGGUUCAGCAAAAUAAUUUUUAAGAUAAAUCCUACAUAUUUUAUUUACAUAAGAUGCAUAACAUCAGAACUGUAAAAUACAUUUGAGUAGACAAUACAAAGUAGUUAAUUUCAAGUAUAGAAAAAGGUGUCCAACCAACAACAAACAAAUAGGUAAAAUGUCCUCAAUUUACUUCAAAGUAACCAUUUAAAUUCAUGUUUCAAAACCAUUAAUAAGCUGUACCCUAAUCAAUAUUAACAAUAUUUCAUACAUGUAUUUAGAAUAUUCAGUUUACAAUUCUAAAGUUAUUUCGAUGAAAAAAAUAUAUUAAACUGUCAGUUUAAUAAAUUAUAACCCAUCUAGUUAUUGCACGGCCCCUGUUUAAAUCAAUCAGCUCUCCCUGCAAAACCAAAAUGAAUAAACUCUCCCUCG